GACGUAGGGCGCGAGCGUUGUCCGGAUUUAUUGGGCGUAAAGAGCUCGUAGGCGGCUUGUCGCGUCGGCUGUGAAAACCCGCGGCUCAACUGUGGGCGGGCAGCUGAUACGGGCAGGCUGGAGUUCGGUAGGGGAGACUGGAAUUCCUGGUGUAGCGGUGAAAUGCGCAGAUAUCAGGAGGAACACCGGUGGCGAAAGCGCUCAUCUGGCCCGAUACUGACGCUGAAGCACGAAAGCUAGGGGAGCAAACGGG
rnacentral:rRNA from 1 species